AGAGGCGGUGGGAGUGCAGGAGGGAGUGGAUCAGAGGGCCAGGGGGUGGGAAGGAAAAGGAACCAGGGCCAGGUCAGAGGCAGCCAACAGGAGCUCCUCCAAGAGAACACGAAGGGGAGGAAACGAGAAAAUAAAGGUUAUUAUCAACACUAUCUCCCCAACCGAAGGACAGAAACUCCUGCUUAGAACCUGUGCGGCACCUUGAGUGGCCCUGCAGUGCUGAGAGCCUCCUGAGGGCAGGAAGGAAGCGAGGCUCCCGAGACCCACCUGCUGCGGGCAGCUGCCGCCGCUGGACCCAGGCCGCUCGCUCACCUCCUCACCAGGAGCCCAAGGCCCACCCCCCAUCCUUCCCUUCAACACACGUUGGGAAGCUACCUGAAGGGAUGCCACAGGGAGAAGGUGGCAUGGAAUCUAGGAAACAGUGGCUCCAAACUAGAAGAGUGCAAGGGAAAACAAAUGCCGUCCCAAGGAUAAUGCGUUCCCAGCAUGGAAGAUGCUCUUGACCCAGUCAGCCAGAAAGCAGUAUGGCAGCUCCGGGACAGAGCCUGAACGCCGUGGGCCCUGACCACACGCACGGCUAAGCUUUGCCAGUCAUCUGUGCUGACUCUCCGUCUACUUCUCUAGUGACAACGCCCUUCAGGCCUCCCCCGCCCCCGACCGACCCUGCUCUUGGCAAGGCUGGCGAGGACCAGGGCUGCCCGACCCAGGGGUCCAGCCUUGGGCCUUGCUUGACGUCGGGAGCGUGAGACACGCUGACUUCUUUCCUAAGCCCUGGCCAGUCUCGGUUCUCUUCCUGUCUCAUGAGAGCCCAUCUCCUCGGGGGUCUCCCAUCCCCCUGCCCGCUCAGCACAUCGCUCCUCUGUCCACACUCACCGCAGGGCUCUCGGCCAGCACUUGGGGCCCAGCCUUCUCUCUCUCCAGCCCCCUUCCCAGGUGUGUCUGUCCGGUA